GUGGAGUCCUCCGCUCCCUGAAUAAUUGAGGUCCUUCAACAUUGCAGAUAAAUGCGAGUGCGCCGAGGGAGGCUGCAAGAAAGGUUGCCAGUGCAAGAGCUGUCGGUGCGAGCCCUGUGAAAAAUGCACAACGGGGUGUUCUUGUCCCUCGAAGGAGGACUGUGCCAAGACUUGCCCCAAGCCAUGCAAGUGUUGUCCAUAGCCAACCAUGAGGCGCUUAUCCUGCAUGACGGUCUCUCCCGUGUGGCGGAGUGAGCAGGAGGAGAGGGAGAAGACUGAAGAUUGGGACCAAUCGUGUAAUUUGUUAUAGGUUGUGAGAAGCUUUACCUUCUAUAGGUCUAUAUUGAUUGACAUAAAUUCUGUUAAUGA